UAGCUCAGUUGGUAGAGCAACUGGUUUACACCCAGUAGGUCGGGAGUUCAAGUCUCUCACCGCCCACCA
rnacentral:tRNA from 1 species